rnacentral:lncRNA from 1 species
GCAUCAAGUUAAUCAAACUGAACUCUCUUGUGUCGGUUGGUCACACACUGUCCAAACACUCUUUCUUUCUUUCCUUUUUUUUUUUUUUUUUUUAAUCAGGACUGUGGCAAAUCAAAAAAGUGCUUCAUCAGUGGACUUUAUGUUCUUUCUUCCACUCUCAAUAACAAAAUGAUGGUUUAUUAAAAGCCUGGCUGGAAGGAUUACUGAAGAAAGAGGAAACGUAGAGACCUUCCAAAGAAAAAAAUCACUUGUGUCCCAACUACAUUUUUGUCCUAGUGCAAAAUUAUGUCUUUACUUGUUUUUGGCAGAUAAUCAACAUUAUCCACAAACUUUUGUUGCUAUCAGUUCAGCAGGUGAGCAGAUGGAUAGCGGGAAUGAUUUGAUAGAUGCAGAGUUCAGGAAGAACAAGCAGCUGCUCUGAGCCAUACUCACACCAGGUUUCUUACAACUGCUUUCUAGAAAUUCAAUCUCUGCAGACUGAUAUGAUGACAAUGGGAAAAUCGAUAAAAGUAAUUCUAAAAGAACCACCAAAAACAUGUGAUUCAUACUUUGGACAAAUCAUUAAUUAUUACCCAGAGGAUGCCUCCUAUUGCAACACAAGUGUCCAGAAUUUAGUCUUUACUGGGCCUCUCAGUGCUUUGAGAUGGCUUUUCCUCCAAAAGCACUCCAUAAAAAUGAAGUUGUGGUUAAAAAAAAAAAAAAAAAAAAAGCCUUGCUUUAAGGUUACCUGGUGAUAUCCCCACAUGACAUUUGCUUUAAAAGAAUUCUGUGAGAAAUAAACAGACUUGCCAAAAGGAAAAUCGUUCUUAAAAAAAAAAAAAAAAAAGAAGAAGAAGAAGAAGAGGGGAGAAAAAAACAAAACCCUGCUACUGAAGAUAAGUAAAAAGGAUAAUGAAUGUUAUAAUCUCCAAAAAUUACUGUCCUACUUAUCAAAGUUUAUAUGUCAGAUGAAGGGAUAGUAGAUUAAAAGAAAUUUAUUUGUUUAUAUGCACAAAGAUGCCAAGUUAAUCCCCCUUUUCUUGUGCUAAAACUUGAUUAAGCUGUUCUGGACAUACUCUUUUCUGAAAGUUAGAGAAGCAGAUAAAUAGUGAGUGAAAGGUCUAUGAUGACCCGACAAUCAAAAUGAAUGAAUAUACAAACACAGCAUUUAUUAAAUCAACUGAUACAAAACAUGAGAGCCCAUUUCAAUUAAGAAACUAAAGAAUAGAAUUUAACUGAGGGCUUAAGUUCUGAGUAGGCAACUUGAUCACCUAACACAAGGUUAUAAAUCAUCCUUUAUUAAUAAGUCAAUUCAAUUCACAAUUUUUGGCAGACACAGUUCUAGGCCCUGGGAAUAAAUUUGUAAAGGGGAUUGAUGGUGUUCUUUUCCACAUGAACCAUAAAAUUCAUUGGAGAAAAUGAACAAUAAACAAUUAAUUUCAAAUAUAAUGAUUAUGAACGCAGUAGAAAGAAAUGUUAUGGGACCAUAUGGCAAAACAGUCUAACCAUUGUUUCUAUUCAAUUGCCAUUCAGAUUCUUUUUUGUUUUGUUUUGCUUUUUAAGAUUUUUUUUUUUUUUUUUUUUUUUUUUUGCCGGGGGGAGACAUGGGACUCCAUCCCAGGACCCUGGGAUCAUGACCUGAGUGGAAGGCAGAUGCUUAACGAAUGAGCCAUCCAAGGCUCUGCCAUUCAGAUUCUUUAGUGUGAUGUCCCACCAUCCCCUAGGGUAGUAAGUAGGAUGGUAAAUGCUUCUUUUCUUUUUCCCUUUUUUUCUCCAUUUCUUUUAUCUAUCCUGCCCCUUUACAUAAAUAUCCAUAUAAACUAUGUGCUCACCCUCUUCUGCUCGGAAUGGACACUUAGCAAAGAACAUAUGGACACCACCCUGCCUUUAAAGUGUUUAAAAUAAACAAGGUUAUGUAAAUAAAUCCAAAUUGGUAUGAGAGAGAAAACUAAUUAGUCUGGGGUGCUAUCUGAUAAAUUGAUUUGAGGAGGUGACACUUAAAUUGAGAUUUUUUUUUUUAAAGAAUAGAAAAAUAAAUGUUUUCCAGGCAGACAGAAUAACAGUAUAUGUGAAGUCUUCACCACAGGAAAGAGUUGGAAGAAUUAAGACUCCCGCUGUGAAGAGUUUGGAUCAAGGAGAGAAGGGAGGUGCUCCAGAGACACAUGAAUGUUUAAUAGUGAGGAUGUUAAGGACUAAAAAGCCAAUUUAAUAUAGCAUUUCAUCACGUGGUCUUAAAUGAUAAUGUUAGUGAGUAUUGAAGCUGGGGAUAGGGAGAACAAAAUGAUGCUUCAGAAGGCUGGUCUGGUGACAGGAAGUCAGAAAGUUUUAAGGAUUUUGCCUAUAUACACUGUGUUUAUAGGCUUUUAUAGGUUUUCUGAUCUGUUAAACAAUAUGAAAAUGCUAUAGACUUCUAUAUUAUUGGAGUUC